UACGAGUGGCUCAAGCGUUAUCCGGAAUUAUUGGGCGUAAAGGAUGUGUAGGUGGUUGUAUUAGUCCGGUGUCUAACCUCUGAGCUCAACUUGGAGACAGCAUUGGAAAACGGUACGGCUAGAGUAUGUUAGGGGGUAAGCGGAACUCAUAGUGUAGGGGGUGAAAAUCCGUUGAUAUUUAUGGGGGAACACCAAAAAGCGAAAGGCAGCUUACUGGAAACAUUUACUGACACUGAAAACAUGAAAAGCGUGGGUAGCG
rnacentral:rRNA from 1 species